GACGAACGCUGGCGGCGCGCUUAACACAUGCAAGUCGAACGGAAAGGCCUGCUUUCCCUUGUGGAUUGCGGGUACUCGAGUGGCGAACGGGUGAGUAACACGUGAGUGAUCUGCCCCCAACUUGGGUAUAAGCCUGGGAAACUGGGUCUAAUUCCCAAUAGGACUGCAGGGUGGUGCCUGUGGUGGAAAACGAUUUUCUAGUGGUUGGGGAUGAGCUGGCGGCCUAUCAGCUUGUUGGUGGGGUAAUGGCCUACCAAGGCGGCGACGGGUAGCCGGCCUGGGAGGGUGGACGGCCACAUUGGGACUGAGAUACGGCCCAGACUCCUACGGGAGGCAGCAGUGGGGAAUAAUGCACAAUGGGCGGAAGCCUGAUGCAGCGACGCCGCGUGGGGGAUGACGGCCUUCGGGUUGUAAACUCCUUUCGACCGCGAGGAAGCCACCUGGUUGGAAGGGUGGUGACGGUAGUGGUAGAAGAAGCACCGGCUAACUACGUG
rnacentral:rRNA from 1 species